rnacentral:rRNA from 1 species
UGGGGAAUCUUGCGCAAUGGGGGAAACCCUGACGCAGCGACGCCGCGUGCGGGAUGAAGGCCUUCGGGUUGUAAACCGCUUUCAGCAGGGACGAGGCCUUAUGGUGACGGUACCUGCAGAAGAAGCUCCGGCUAAAUACGUGCCAGCAGCCGCGGUAAUACGUAUGGAGCAAGCGUUAUCCGGAUUCAUUGGGCGUAAAGCGCUCGUAGGCGGUCUGUUAGGUCGGCAAGUUAAAUCCGGGGGCUCAACCCCCGUCCGCUUCCGAUACCGGCAGACUUGAGUUUGGUAGGGGAAGGUGGAAUUCCUAGUGUAGCGGUGGAAUGCGCAGAUAUUAGGAAGAACACCGGUGGCGAAGGCGGCCUUCUGGGCCAUAACUGACGCUGAGGAGCGAAAGCUAGGGGAGCGAACAG